rnacentral:lncRNA from 1 species
UGUUGUAUUUAAGAAUGAACCUACUCGAGUCUCGGGUGCUAAAGUGGUUGUCUCUUGGAAUCUCAGAAAAAUCAAAUUUGGGUUAAAACACUUGACUUGUGCAGAAUAAAGGGCAAGAUUACUUUCAAAUCAAUAUAUUGAGAAGUCCAUUCUCUUAUUCUGAGGAUUCUACUUGAUUACAGUUCAAGAUUGAAUGUUUCUUUGAACUGGUGAAUGAGGAGAGACAUAUUUGAAAGCUAUGAAUUCAUUUACUUAUGGAGUAAACUGGCCUACUGACCUGAAUCAUAUUGAUGGAAAGAAAGUGAAGGGACUUGAAGGGAUAUAAGUCAUUAUUGGAAUAAUAUAACCAACUUCUUGGUGAUUUAAUAAAGGUAAGGAUUAUGUAUGAUGAACUUUACUUAAAUAUAUACUGAGGAUAUGUUCACCUUCUCUGCAAAUGCUCAUUUGCUUAAGAAUUCUUUAAACCUCAAAAAUAAAUGUGGACUUAAGUUUACGGCUAUAUGUUUAAACUAAUCGUAUAUGAUCGGGAAUAGAGUUCACUACAAAGA